rnacentral:lncRNA from 1 species
UUAUUAUACGACCCCAAAAAAAUUUGGGUUCGUAUAAUGGUAUGAUGUCGUCGUCUGCGUCAUCGUCCGAAGACACUUUGGUUUCCGGAUAAUAACUUUAGUUUAAAUGAAUAGAUCUUAAAUGAAUUUUUUCAGAAGGUUCAAUACCACAAAAGGAAGGUUGGGAUUUAUUUUGGGGAUGAUGGUCCGAACCGUUUAGGAAUUAGGGGCCCAAAAGGGCCAAAACAAGCAUUUUUCUAGUUUCAGGAUAAUAACUUGUUUACCAGUAUUUCAAUUGCUCUGAAAGUAUACUGCAAUGUUUAAAAUCACAAGUAGAAGGUUUGGAUUCAUUUAAGGGGUUAUGGGGCCAAAGUUUAGGAAUUAAGGGCCAAAAAGGGGUCAAAACAAGCAUUUUUCUAGUUUCCAGACAAUACCUUGUGUGUAAUUGCAUGGAUCUCUCUGAAAUUGUACCACAAUGUACCAUAUAACAAAGGGAGGCUGGGAUUAAGUUUUGGGUUAAUUGCCCAAAAUAUGUAGGAAUUAAGGGCCAAAAAGAAGCAUGUUUCUGGUUUCCAAACAAUCAUGACAAUAACUUGUGUUUAAGUGUAUGGAUCUCUCUGAAAUCGUACUACAAGGUUCAAUAUUACAAAGGAAAGCAUGGGAUUGAGUUUAAGGGUUAUUGCUCCAAGGGGGGUUUCAAUAAAUUGGGGGGGGGGAUCUCAGUUUACCAUUUUUUUUAAGGGAUUUUUUUUUUUUCUAACAUUUUUCAAAUUUCAAAUUUUGAAAAGUUUCAAUAAGAAAUAUUCAAUUGCACAGUAUUGUGCAGUAGAUGUGUUAGAUCUUGAACCAC